AAAUGCGAUAAGUAAUGUGAAUUGCAGAAUUCAGUGAAUCAUCGAAUCUUUGAACGCACCUUGCGCUCCUUGGUAUUCCUUGGAGCAUGCCUGUUUGAGUAUCAUGAAAUCUUCAAAGUAAAUCUUUUGUUAACUCAAUUGGUUUCUACUUUCGUAUUGGAGGUCUUUGCAGCUUCACACCUGCUCCUCUUUGUUCAUUAGCUGGAUCUCAGUGUUAUGCUUGGUUCCACUCGGCGUGAUAAGUUAUCUAUCGCUGAGGACACUGUAAAAGGUGGCCAAGGUAAAUGCAGAUGAACCGCUUCUAAUAGUCCAUUGACUUGGACAAUACUUUUAUGAUCUGAUCUCAAAUCAGGUAGGACUACCCGCUGAACUUAAGC
rnacentral:misc_RNA from 1 species